UACGUAGGGUGCGAGCGUUAAUCGGAAUUACUGGGCGUAAAGCGUGCGCAGGCGGUUUUGUAAGCCAGAUGUGAAAGCCCCGGGCUUAACCUGGGAAUGGCAUUUGGGACUGCAAGGCUGGAGUUUGGCAGAGGAGACUGGAAUUCCUGGUGUAGCAGUGAAAUGCGUAGAUAUCAGGAGGAAUACCGAUAGCGAAGGCAGGUCUCUGGGCUAUAACUGACGCUCAUGCACGAAAGCGUGGGGAGCAAACAGG
rnacentral:rRNA from 1 species